rnacentral:tRNA from 1 species
GACGUCGUCGCUGACGGUCAGCCGGCUGCCUGCAAAGCAGCUUGUUCGCGGGUUCGACUCCCGCCGACGUUU